UGAAUACGAGACGCUAAGGCGUCGAAGUAGUGUAUGUCAUACUUCCAAGAAAAGCUUGCACUGUCAUAGAUAAAAAACGCCUGUACCAUAACCGACACAGGUGGGUAGGUAGAGUAUACUAAGGGGCGCGAGAUAACUCUCUCUAAGGAACUCGGCAAAAUAACUCCGUAACUUCGGGAGAAGGAGUGCCUUAUUCUUAAGGUUGCAAUAACAAGAUCCAAGCAACUGUUUAUCAAAAACACAGGUCUCCGCUAAGUCGUAAGACGAUGUAUGGGGGCUGACGCCUGCCCAGUGCCAGAAGGUUAAAGAAGCUGGUUAGCAUUUGCGAAGCUAGUAACUGAAGCCCUGGUGAACGGCGGCCGUAACAAUAACGGUCCUAAGGUAGCGAAAUUCCUUGUCGGGUAAGUUCCGACCCGCACGAAAGGCGUAAUGAUUUGGAUACUGUCUCGGAGAGGGGCUCGGUGAAGUAGACUUGUCUGUGAAGAUGCGGACUACCUGCACCAGGACAGAAAGACCCUAUGAAGCUUUACUGUAACUUGAAAUUGAAAUUGGACUUUAUUCGCGCAGUAUAGGUGGGAGGCGUUGAUUAUAAUCUUGCGGGAUUAUUGGAGCCAUUAGUGAGAUACCACUCUUGUAAUGUUAGAUUUCUAACUUUGAAUCAUUAUCUGGUCAAAGAACAGUUUCAGGCGGGCAGUUUGACUGGGGCGGUCGCCUCCUAAACGGUAACGGAGGCGUACAAAGGUUUCCUCUGAACGGUUAGAAAUCGUAUCUAGAGUGUAAAGGCAUAAGGAAGCUUGACUGUGAGACCUACAAGUCGAGCAGGGACGAAAGUCGGUCUUAGUGAUCUGACGGUACUGAGUGGAAAGGCCGUCACUCAACGGAUAAAAGUUACUCUAAGGAUAACAGGCUGAUCUCCCCCAAGAGUUCACAUCGACGGGGAGGUUUGGCACCUCGAUGUCGGCUCAUCGCAUCCUGGGGCGGUAGUACGUCCCAAGGGUUGGGCUGUUCGCCCAUGAAAGCGGUACGCGAGCUGGGUUCAGAACGUCGUGAGACAGUUCGGUCCAUAUCCGGUGUAGGCGUUAGAAUAUUGAGAGGAGCCUUCUUUAGUACGAGAGGACCGAGAAGGACAUACCUCUGGUGUACCAGUUAUCGUGCCAACGGUAAACGCUGGGUAGCUAUGUAUGGAGUGGAUAACCGCUGAAAGCAUCUAAGUGGGAAGCCCACCUCAAGAUAAGUAUUCUCAU
rnacentral:rRNA from 1 species